CAGGAGGGGUGGCCAGGCGACCCCUGCAGCGCCCUGGGUGCACUGUGUCACUAGGCAUCUGAAGAGCCGCUCAGCUGUGUCCAGCCGGGCGUCGCCCCCUCCUCGGGGACUCCACCUCCUGCAGGCACAGUGGGCCACGCCUGCGUUUCCUCCUGGAAAAGCCUCCGCUCCUACUUCGCCCUCCAUUUCUGUGACUUGGGAGCGUCGGCCAGGCGUCCUUUGGAAAUGUCUGGGGAGCUGUCCCCUGCAGAAAUGGACACUGCCCCCGAAGCCUUGGAAUGUCAUGACUGCCCACGGGAGUGAGGCUUCUUCCACCGCCCUGCCACUCAGAGACACCCAGGAGCCCAGCUGGGGAAGGGUGCACUCCACAGUUAGCCUGUCCGGCUCCAGGUCACAAGGGCCAGGUUCUUCCCGUCUCCAGAGAGCCCUGAAAUGCCUGCCUGAAGAGCUGGGAUCUGGGGGGAGGAGCAGGGGGCCCCUCCUUCCUGACACCCGGGCCCUGAUGUUCCAGAUGUUCGGGCCUGGGCUGGUCACCUAGAGUCCUCAACCUGGUGUCCUCGAAGAGUGGCCAGGCUUUGGAACCAGCAUCUCUACAGCCCUGAACUCCCAGCGAUCCUCCUGCCUCAGGCUCCGGAGUGCAGGGAUCACAGGAGUCUGGGCCUGGUGUGGCUGGGCCCUCUCAGAGGCGGCACCAAGGUUGUCAGGGCUGAGAUGUCAUCUGAAGCUUGGUGGAGGAGACCCACAUCUUACCUUGUGAUCUUGCUGGGCAAUUCAGAACUGUUGAGCCAAGGGCCGGCCGGCCUGCCUGCCUGCCUUCCUUCCUUCCUUCCCUUCCUUCCUUCCUGAACCCAGGGCCUUUGCACUGAGCUACAUCCCCAGCUUUUUUAAUUAAAAAAAAUUUUUUUUAUCAUGAGACAAGUUCUCCCUAAGUUGUUAAAGUGUCCAGUCUAGGUUUGAACUUAAGAUCCUCCUACCUCAGCCUUCGGAGUGCUUGCCAUGGUCUGUUGGUGAAGAUGCAAGUCCCAGCCCUGCCCACACUCAAG
ensembl:lncRNA